rnacentral:lncRNA from 10 species
CAGAAAUUACAAAGUUCUGUUAAUAUUUAACACAAAUAGAACUUGCCUCUCCCAUUUUCCUUUUACAAAGAUAUGUGUUAAAUCAAGCAAGGAGCUUUAAGAAUGCCACGAUCAAAAAUUAUGGUCUAACUAGGAAGCCUAAUGCUAAAAAUUGGGGGCUUGAGUUUUUUUUCUCUGCAGGAGAAUGCAAAGGAAGUAUUUAAUGCUACGAAAGGAAACGUGAUUGGCUGGAACAAAAAGAGCAAAGAAAAGAAUCAGAGGGCACCUUCUGUAACACAGGCCCUGACUCUCUUCCUUCUGAUGAACCUCGCACUGUGACACAGGGGAGAAUCCCAGAGGACAAGAUCCUAAUGAAGCACAGAUCAAAUCAGUUCUCUCCACCAUUAACUGCAAACAAUAAAGAAUACAUUCUUUGAUGGCAGUAACCAGGAGCUGUGAGACUUUUAGACUCUUAAAUCUCUGAAGUGUGCCUACUAAAUGAAUGGAAGUUUUCCCAAAGGACUGGACUCUAACAGAGGCCAUUCUCACCAUUGAUGUGGAUGUGACAUUCCCGGUGCAGCUGUGCUUCAGGAGAAGAAAGAUAUGCUGGACACGCGGGCACCCUGGCAGUGACCCAGAAAGAUGGUAAGGCCAUUGUGUAGGUCACUUUUUCAUGGCCAAAGACAUAGCCUAACUCUUCUGUUAUCAUCUGUAUGGAAAUCGUUGUUCCUUCCUCCUAACCCCUUAAUAAUCAUGGAGUGAGUUAAUGCCUACAGCAUGGAAAAAAGAUUAAGGAUUAAUUGUGGGGGAAAAGCUCCAUUGCAAACAGUUUAUAAAAAGACAGCUUGCUUGGAUACAGUUGUUAGUACUGUAUAUAUGUUAAAAUUUGCACUUGAAUGUCCACAUGCAUUGAGAUAUAUGUCAGUAUUGAAGGUAUUUUACAUCAGAUACUCCAUGUAAGCCGAUACCAUUAUGUAAUGAUGUGUAUCACUGUGUUCUCAAUGUUUUCUAGAAAAGUGAAUAACAUUAGCAAUAGGAAAGGAAAUAGAACCAUAAAUGGUUUGUUAAUUGUUGUUCUGUGAUAUGGGCAUUAACCUGUGUAUGGGUGGCUGCGUGUGGGUGUGCGUUCAUAUUUUUGAGUGUGAGCUUUGUCUUCUGUGCACACACAAUACUACUGUCACCUGGUGCUUUGAGUUGUGCUUCCAGAGAUAAUGAAGAAUUUAUGCUAAUAUAUGCAUUUGACUAAACCCGCUUAUAAUUAAGGGGCAUGAGUUUUCCAGACAAAUGACGUGGGUCAGCUGUGACCACUGAAGCUUGUAACCACUGAAAAGCUAAAAACUACUUUGCCCUAAGGUCAAGUUCCUUAACCUCAGCUAAGAAUGCCAAGUCUUCAUUGAGCAAUGCUGCUCAGCAGAGACAGCAGAAGAGGACCACUCUAUGCGCCCUAGAUCUAUCUUACUUUACAUCUUCCUUUGUAUUUUAUUGUAAAAGUUCUUCAGUUUAAUCAUCUUUCCUUUAGAAAAGGGCCCUGAUAACAUCUGCAAUCAUUCCUUUCAAUUACCAUGUUUGGCCUUCAAAAAGAGGGCAUUUCAAUUUCAUGGUCAAACACAGGAUGCAAUUUUGUACUUGAAAAUAAUGGCAAGAGCUAGACUGGGACAUGGAGGCAGAUGACAUUUUAGCUACCAAUGACCUAGCAUGUUACUGAUUGAACGAGAGCAUCUGAAAUAUCCCCCAGAGUUUCUAGGAAAUUUUAGAACUAGAUUUAUAUUUUGAAACUGCAGAUUAAUAUACUGAAAGAAUUAUUAUCUGACAGACACAACAAAUUAGUACUUGGACU